UACGUAGGUGGCAAGCGUUGUCCGGAUUUACUGGGCGUAAAGGGCGUGCAGGCGGUUUGUUAAGUGCAGGGUGAAAGCUCCCGGCUCAACUGGGAGAGGUCCUUGCAUACUGGCAAACUCGAGGGAGGCAGAGGAAAGUGGAAUUCCCGGUGUAGUGGUGAUAUGCGUAGAUAUCGGGAGGAACACCAGUGGCGAAGGCGACUACCUGGCCUGUUCUUGACGCUGAGGCGCGAAAGCUAGGGGAGCAAACGGG
rnacentral:rRNA from 1 species